GGGCCCGUAGUUCAGUGGUAGAACGCUGUCCUGAUAAGACAGAGGUCAAAGGUCCGAUUCCUUUCGGGCCCACCA
rnacentral:tRNA from 4 species